GAUGAACGCUAGCGGCAGGCCUAACACAUGCAAGUCGAGGGGUAUAGUUCUUCGGAACUAGAGACCGGCGCACGGGUGCGUAACGCGUAUGCAAUCUACCUUUUACAGGGGAAUAGCCCAGAGAAAUUUGGAUUAAUGCCCCAUAGUGUUAUAGAAUCGCAUGGUUUUAUAACUAAAGUUCCAACGGUAAAAGAUGAGCAUGCGUCCCAUUAGUUAGUUGGUAAGGUAACGGCUUACCAAGACAAUGAUGGGUAGGGGUCCUGAGAGGGAGAUCCCCCACACUGGUACUGAGACACGGACCAGACUCCUACGGGAGGCAGCAGUGAGGAAUAUUGGACAAUGGGCGCAAGCCUGAUCCAGCCAUGCCGCGUGCAGGAAGACGGUCCUAUGGAUUGUAAACUGCUUUUGUACAGGAAGAAACACUCCCUCGUGAGGGAGCUUGACGGUACUGUAAGAAUAAGGAUCGGCUAACUCCGUGCCGAGCAGCCGUCGGUAAUGUAUCGUACG
rnacentral:rRNA from 1 species